GGACGAACGCUGGCGGCGUGCUUAACACAUGCAAGUCGAACGAUGAAGCCCAGCUUGCUGGGUGGAUUAGUGGCGAACGGGUGAGUAACACGUGGGUGAUCUGCCCUGCACUCUGGGAUAAGCCUGGGAAACUGGGUCUAAUACCGGAUAUGACCUCUUGCUGCAUGGCGAGGGGUGGAAAGUUUUUCGGUGCAGGAUGAGCCCGCGGCCUAUCAGCUUGUUGGUGGGGUAAUGGCCUACCAAGGCGACGACGGGUAGCCGGCCUGAGAGGGCGACCGGCCACACUGGGACUGAGACACGGCCCAGACUCCUACGGGAGGCAGCAGUGGGGAAUAUUGCACAAUGGGCGAAAGCCUGAUGCAGCGACGCCGCGUGAGGGAUGACGGCCUUCGGGUUGUAAACCUCUUUCAGCAGGGACGAAGCGAAAGUGACGGUACCUGCAGAAGAAGCACCGGCCAACUACGUG
rnacentral:rRNA from 1 species